rnacentral:rRNA from 1 species
AUUGAACGCUGGCGGCAUGCUUUACACAUGCAAGUCGAACGGUAACAGGCCUUCGGGUGCUGACGAGUGGCGAACGGGUGAGUAAUGCAUCGGAACGUGCCCAAUCGUGGGGGAUAACGUAGCGAAAGUUACGCUAAUACCGCAUAAGCCCUGAGGGGGAAAGUGGGGGACCGCAAGGCCUCACGCGAAUGGAGCGGCCGAUGUCAGAUUAGCUAGUUGGUGGGGUAAAGGCCCACCAAGGCGACGAUCUGUAGCGGGUCUGAGAGGAUGAUCCGCCACACUGGGACUGAGACACGGCCCAGACUCCUACGGGAGGCAGCAGUGGGGAAUAUUGGACAAUGGGGGCAACCCUGAUCCAGCCAUGCCGCGUGUGUGAAGAAGGCC